GAUAGAGGUUGCAUGUUUCAACAGUACGCUGACGGAUGCCGCAGGGGCAGAUGAACUCAGUGGAAAGGGAAAUGUGCCGAAAGGAUGAGCCCCCUGAAAACUUGUCCUUGGGCAUGACGCAAAAAGCGGCAUGACUGUCAUCGCAGGAUGGAGAGCUAUCUGA
rnacentral:ncRNA from 1 species